CUUGCGGACGGUGUCCCGGAUGCUGAGGGCCCGCGACGGUUUGUGGGGCUUGCAGUCCGGUUGCGUUACUUCUUAACUGCGUUUCCAGGAUAAUGAUUACCUCGCCUCCCUACUUAUCCCAGCUUGGGCUCGGUUCUGAUGCGGGUCCCUAACAGUGGGCCUUUGAGCUGCAGGCACCUGGACUCCGCCAACAUCCUCAUUCCUGCGACGGGACCAAGCAUGAAGGAAAGUCGGCCUGCUGGAAAUCCGCUUGAGAAAGUUCUGCUAACGAAGACCAGUACAACCCACUGCUCUGUUCCCGCGCCUUUGCUGAGGCGCUCCGUAAACCUUUACCAGCCCUGAAACCUGGAACUCCACACGACUUGAGUCCCUCAACUCGACACCUGGCCCGACCAACGUGUUUCCAGUACAUUAAGGGCCAAGAACGAAUUUAAUCUCCGUCUAGCAUAGUCUCAGGUACACGACAAGUUGCAGGAGCGUCGAAAAGCAUCAGAGGAAGGGCCUGGGUUUGAGUAGGGAGUUCGACUCAUAACCCACUCUCGUGCUCUGGCCUUCAGCCUUUCUACUGGGGAAAAUGUCUCCUCCCCUCUUCCCGCCAGUUGGGCGAAGUUCUUGACAGAUAUUUUAACACUUUAUUAACAAAGUUAACAUUUAACUUUGUUUUCCAUAUUGAAUCUAUUCAAAACCCUUGUUGUACAGGCUAAUUACAUUUUAUUAGAUAACGUUAAAUAAUGAUAAUUUCAUUAAACAUUCGAUUAACCUACGUGGGCUGAAUGGAAAUUUUUCAUGUUUGAGAUUGAUACAUAUCUAUUUUAUGUUGUUCCGAGUAACUUCAUAUCAGAAGCCAAACCUAAGUUGAGAAACUGGUAUUUCUUAAAACAGACCAAAUCAAUUGUUUAAGCCCUAGGGGUGUUUGAAGAUGAAAAAUUCAGAAAGGACAAAAAAGUUGUGUAAAUUGUGGUGUAUUGCUUUAAUCCUAUUGUUAAAUCCAAGUGAUCAACUUAUCGGUUGUCCUCCAAAUUACUCAAGUGUGAUUUGAUUGAAGAAAUACAGUUCAGCGUGCUAGAUUUUUAAUGAGUGUAUACCACGAGCUUCAGAAUAAGUGUGUGCUAGUAGAAUUGAGAGAUGAUAUCAUCCAAACUGCUUAAUUUAGAGAAGAGGAAACCGAAACUCAGAGAGGUUAAGUAACUUGUGCAAAGUUACUCAGCCAAGUACGUGACAGAACAGGAAUUAGGACAGUAACCUACAUGCUGCCUCAUAUUCUGCAUUGUUUUGAUUGUAUUAGCAUUUUCGGUUGCUCCCUAUUUUUGUGUUGUUUUUCCUCCUUUGCAUUCACUUAGGGUUAGGAAAAAGAAAAACCUAGCGGUAAGACUGCCAAGUAAGAGGGACAGAUUAUUUCCACUAAUCUUAAAUGGAUGCAUGCAAAUCCAUAACUAGUUUCGUUUAUCUCUAAUAAUUAGCAAAACUGGGGUCGGGGAUGUGUGGGGUGGGGAUGGAUCACUACUGUAUUCUGUAGAAAGCAUGAGAACAGCUAGGACUCUGGAACUCCUAGAAAAGACUUGAAACACAAAAGUGGGUGUUAAUUUAGGAUCCCGUUCCUUCUCCAGGCCAUCUGAGCAGUCAAUAAGAUGGCAGGAUAUUUUUCUGGUUACAUUCAAGGACAUUUGACAGUCUUACCUGGGGUAUAAUCAGUGCCCUGUUUUUCAGCUUUACACAAUUUCUGAGAACAGGGCAAGAACCUUCAUCUUGGUUUCUCUUCUCAGCCUGGCAUGAAAUAAUGUUUCCUCUACCCUAAACUUUGAGCAGAGGAAAGAAACUAAAGUUGACUUUAUUCUGAUAUAAAAGUUUAUAGAUAUAUGAUAAUUAAAUACAUAGUGUGUGUGUUAUGAUUGAGAGGGUCGAAAUAACGAAUUUGGAGUUAGAGUUUGGGCCAAAGGUGUUUUUUGCCAUAGCUGCUUUAAAUCAAACUGUGCAUUUUUUCCCGCUCACUUUUGAUUAGAGGGGGAACUUUUGACAUCAGAUGUAAAUUCCUGAGGUAUUUGUAUUUAUGUAGUAUAAUUCUCCGUUGGAAUCUAUAUGUACCUGAUUUUUCUGCUUUUUAAAAUAAUUUAAAAUAUUCGGUGAAUCCAGGGUAAAAACUGCGGAGUAGAAUGUCCAAGGCUUUGUUUCAAUUUUCUGAACUUUGUUUGGCUGGCCUUAACCUUAAGCCUGCUUUGAUAUUUUAUGUAAGUGAAUCAUCUGAAGAACUAAGUAUUAAAAUCCACUCAAGACAUGUAGGCAAAGGUAGGGAUUACCAUUUUUAUGUUUCUUCAGAAGUAAUAUAUUCCAGGAUAGACCAUUAAAUACAAAGGACCAUAUUUAACUUAGAUGACUUUUGUUUAUUCUUUAGGGACUUCCAAAUACUGGUUUAGAAUUGACUAUUCCCAUUCUGGCUGUAGUGAUUUCGUUCAGUUGAAUUACAUAAUUAAAAAAAAUAUGUUGUCUAGUAAGUUACUCCUUGUUUAACUGUAAGCAUAUUGAAAUCACAGUGUGUUGUGAUGGUCUAAGGACAUACAAAACAGUCCUUAUAAAUAAAAUAAUUUAUUGACA